rnacentral:rRNA from 1 species
GACGAACGCUGGCGGCGUGCCUAAUACAUGCAAGUUGAGCGAUGAAGAUUGGUGCUUGCACCAAUUUGAAGAGCAGCGAACGGGUGAGUAACGCGUGGGGAAUCUGCCUUUGAGCGGGGGACAACAUUUGGAAACGAAUGCUAAUACCGCAUAACAACCUUAAACAUAAGUUUUAAGUUUGAAAGAUGCAAUUGCAUCACUCAAAGAUGAUCCCGCGUUGUAUUAGCUAGUUGGUGGGGUAAAGGCUCACCAAGGCGAUGAUACAUAGCCGACCUGAGAGGGUGAUAGGCCACAUUGGAGCUGGGACACGGCCCAAACUCCUACGGGAGGCAGCAGUAGGGAAUCUUCGGCAGUGGACGAAAGUCUGACCGAGCAACGCCACGUGAGUGAAGAAGGUGUUCGGAUCGUAAAACUCUGUUGGUAGAGAAGAACGUCGGUGAGAGUGGAAAGCUCAUCAAGUAACGGUAACGACCCAGAAAGGGACGGCUAACUACGU